GCGCCCACAGCCCCCGCCCGCCUCCCCGCCGGGCUCUGGCCAAGUUUGGGGAGGAGUCGGGGCGCCGCGGAGGCCAGGGAGGGGGAGAAGGACGCCGGGGAGCUGCACGCUCCGGCCGCACUCACCUCCGUUCGCCACUCCCCGGCCCUCCUCUCUUGACCCCACCUUCUUCUCUUCCCCUCUGGCAAGGGGUUCUGGAAUUCAGCCCCCUUCUUAAGCACUUCUGUUAAUUUGGAGACCUUAUUUUUAAUCUCUCCUGACUCAGUUUCUUCUCCUGGAAAAGGAAGUCCGAAUAGGACCUCUUUUCUCGAAGUGUGGAAGACCUGAAAGUGAUAGCACAGGAGGGCUGCCUGGCAGAUACAGAGUAAGAGCUCCAUCUGUGUUUCUCACCGUCAUUUUUACUAUCGCGGACAGACAGGGUCCUGGCGUAGGUGUAGGGUGGCAGGGCCACCUGGACCCAGCCUUAAGAUCCCUCCGAGUUCUUUUAUGCACUCACCCACCCCCACCGACAAACACACAGACCCUCACAUCUUGCCCCGCGCUCUUUGAACUCACAGUCCUGGAAAUUUGUUGUUCCUGAAAAUGACAGAAGACAAGGGACUGCCUUUGUUCGGCCUCAUUUUCCGUCUGAGCUGAUCUACCUUGGCGGUUCUUGGGAGGACAGGAAGAGGAGGCCAGAGGGAUCAGAGCUCCACCUGUGUCGAGGGCUGUAUUUUAAAAAUUGAAGAAGUUCCAAAACAAGGAACCCACCUGCUGCAGAAUCCAGAAAUGCUUCAGCCAAGAGUUGGCCAGGACCCGAGGCCCUCAGUCCAUCGGCCCACAGGGACCAGAAUGCUGCCAACACCAGAGAUGCAGCAGGAUCCUCAGACGAGGGCGUCCCAGGAAAAUUCCAAGUGUGGAAGCUACCGGAAACCUGUUAUUGGGUCCAAACUACCCCUCCAGCACUAGUGCUUCUCAGCAUGGCUCGGCUGGCUACCAGCUGGCUAAGACAGAAGUCAGGCAGCCCCCACGUCCCCGCUACAUGAACAUUGGGAACUCUGAAUUUGUCUGAGCAGGAUCUGAGAAAUAUGCCCUCUUGAGAUUAUUUCCUGGUCAUCCACCUCCACAGACUGGGUUGGGGCAGGAUAGAGAGGAUGGUUUCCAGCAGAGAAACAAGUCUUAGUGGCCUUCUCCUCUGGGCUGGGUACUCUGGGUCUCACAGCUUCUCUUCAUGCACUGGGGGUGGAGCCUCAACUUCAGGAUCUGACUGUUCUGCCUCCUCUCAAUUUCUAACAGUGAUGACAGAAAUACCUAUGAUCUACUGUCAUGAAACUUCCUGCAAAUAGAAUAUAAGUUAAUAGUA